GGCGGUGUCUACCUCAGCCCGCUGUUCAUCUACGCCGUGCUGGCCCUGGGCCUGACCGUGGUACUGCGCCUGCUGCUGCAGGCUACGCCCUUCGGCCGCUGGAUCUGGCACGAAGCGUUGUUCGAUUGCUCGUUG
rnacentral:sRNA from 1 species